UACGAGGGGUGCAAGCGUUGCUCGGAAUUAUUGGGCGUAAAGGGUAGGUAGGUGGUCUUAUUUGUCUGAGGUGAAAUCCCGGGGCUUAACCCCGGAAGUGCCUUAGAAACGGUAAGACUAGAGUCUUAGAGGGGUUUGUGGAAUUCCCGGUGUAGCGGUGAAAUGCGUAGAGAUCGGGAGGAACACCAGAAGCGAAGGCGGCAAACUGGAUAAGAACUGACACUGAACUACGAAAGCGUGGGUAGCAAACAGGAUUAGAUACCCUAGUAGUCC
rnacentral:rRNA from 1 species